rnacentral:rRNA from 1 species
ACAUGCAAGUCGAACGGAGAUCAUAGGAAUGCGGGCUUCGGCCAAAUGACUUUUGAACUUAGUGGCGACGGGUGAGUAACGCGUGAGCAACCUGCCUUUCAGAGGGGGAUAACAUUUGGAAACAGAUGCUAAUACCGCAUAAGAUUACAGUAGCGCAUGAUACAGUGAUCAAAGGAGCAAUCCGCUGAAAGAUGGGCUCGCGUCCGAUUAGAUAGUUGGUGAGGUAACGGCUCACCAAGUCGACGAUCGGUAGCCGGACUGAGAGGUUGAACGGCCACAUUGGGACUGAGACACGGCCCAGACUCCUACGGGAGGCAGCAGUGGGGAAUAUUGCACAAUGGGCGAAAGCCUGAUGCAGCAACGCCGCGUGAGGGAAGACGGUUUUCGGAUUGUAAACCUCUGUUUUCGGUGACGAACAAAUGACGGUAACCGAGUAGGAAGCCACGGCUAACUACGUG